rnacentral:lncRNA from 1 species
GAUUGGCUUUUUGAGAUAUAUUUUCCAACAACUCUCACUUGUCCUAAAGCCACUCGGCACAGUAUCUAAUACCCAUCUUCGACUUGUGGUUGUCGAACUCCUUUAUCGUCAGGGCUUUAGUGAAGAGGUCGGCCAGGUUCUCCUUUCCGUCGAUCUUCUGAAGGUCGACGUCACCUCGAUCCACGAUCUCUCAGACCAGGUGGA